UCUAAGGUAGGGUACUAUGGAGCCUGGUCUAAGGUAGGGCACUAUGGAGCCUGGUCUAAGGUAGGGUACUAUGGAGCCUGGUCUAAGGUAGGGUACUAUGGAGCCUGGUCUAAGGUAGGGUACUAUGGAGCCUGGUCUAAGGUAGGGUACUAUGGAGCCUGGUCUAAGGUUGGGUACUAUGGAGCCUGGUCUAAGGUAGGGCACUAUGGAGCCUGGUCUAAGGUUGGGUACUAUUGAGCCUGGUCAGAGGGUACUAUGGAGCCUGGUCUAAGGUAGGGUACUAUGGAGCCUGGUCUAAGGUAGGGUACUAUGGAGCCUGGUCUAAGGUAGGGUACUAUGGAGCCUGGUCUAAGGUAGGGUACUAUGGAGCCUGGUCAGAGGGCACUAUGGAGCCUGGUCUAAGGUAGGGUACUAUGGAGCCUGGUCUAAGGUAGGGUACUAUGGAGCCUGGUCUAAGGUAGGGCACUAUGGAGCCUGGUCUAAGCUAGGGUACUAUGGAGCCUGGUCUAAGGUAGGGCACUAUGGAGCCUGGUCUAAGGUAGGGCACUAUGGAGCCUGGUCUAAGGUAGGGUACUAUGGAGCCUGGUCUAAGGUAGGGCACUAUGGAGCCUGGUCUAAGGUAGGGUACUAUGGAGCCUGGUCUAAGGUAGGGCACUAUGGAGCCUGGUCUAAGGUAGGGUACUAUGGAGCCUGGUCUAAGGUAGGGCACUAUGGAGCCUGGUCUAAGCUAGGGUACUAUGGAGCCUGGUCUAAGCUAGGGUACUAUGGAGCCUGGUCUAAGGUAGGGCCCUAUGGAGCCUGGUCUAAGCUAGGGUACUAUGGAGCCUGGUCUAAGGUAGGGUACUAUGGAGCCUGGUCUAAGGUAGGGUACUAUGGAGCCUGGUCAGAGGGUACUAUGGAGCCUGGUCUAAGGUAGGGUACUAUGGAGCCUGGUCUAAGGUAGGGCCCUAUGGAGCCUGGUCUAAGGUAGGGUACUAUGGAGCCUGGUCUAAGGUUGGGUACUAUGGAGCCUGGUCUAAGGUAGGGUACUAUGAAGCCUGGUCUAAGGUAGGGUACUAUGGAGCCUGGUCUAAGGUAGGGUACUAUGGAGCCUGGUCUAAGGUAGGGUACUAUGGAGCCUGGUCAGAGGGUACUAUGGAGCCUGGUCUAAGGUAGGGCCCUAUGGAGCCUGGUCUAAGGUAGGGUACUAUGGAGCCUGGUCAGAGGGUACUAUGGAGCCUGGUCUAAGGUAGGGUACUAUGGAGCCUGGUCUAAGGUAGGGCACUAUGGAGCCUGGUCUAAGGUAGGGCACUAUGGAGCCUGGUCUAAGGUAGGGUACUAUGGAGCCUGGUCUAAGGUAGGGCACUAUGGAGCCUGGUCUAAGGUAGGGCACUAUGGAGCCUGGUCUAAGGUAGGGUACUAUGGAGCCUGGUCUAAGGUAGGGUACUAUGGAGCCUGGUCUAAGGUAGGGUACUAUGGAGCCUGGUCUAAGGUAGGGUACUAUGGAGCCUGGUCUAAGCUAGGGUACUAUGGAGCCUGGUCUAAGGUAGGGUACUAUGGAGCCUGGUCUAAGGUAGGGUACUAUGGAGCCUGGUCAGAGGGCACUAUGGAGCCUGGUCUAAGGUAGGGUACUAUGGAGCCUGGUCUAAGGUAGGGUACUAUGGAGCCUGGUCUAAGCUAGGGUACUAUGGAGCCUGGUCUAAGGUAGGGUACUAUGGAGCCUGGUCUAAGCUAGGGUACUAUGGAGCCUGGUCUAAGCUAGGGUACUAUGGAGCCUGGUCUAAGCUAGGGUACUAUGGAGCCUGGUCUAAGGUAGGGCCCUAUGGAGCCUGGUCUAAGCUAGGGUACUAUGGAGCCUGGUCUAAGGUAGGGUACUAUGGAGCCUGGUCUAAGGUAGGGUACUAUGGAGCCUGGUCAGAGGGCACUAUGGAGCCUGGUCAGAGGGCACUAUGGAGCCUGGUCUAAGGUAGGGCACUAUGGAGCCUGGUCUAAGGUAGGGUACUAUGAAGCCUGGUCUAAGGUAGGGUACUAUGGAGCCUGGUCUAAGGUUGGGUACUAUGGAGCCUGGUCUAAGGUAGGGCACUAUGGAGCCUGGUCUAAGGUAGGGUACUAUGGAGCCUGGUCUAAGGUAGGGCACUAUGGAGCCUGGUCUAAGGUAGGGCACUAUGGAGCCUGGUCUAAGGUAGGGCACUAUGGAGCCUGGUCUAAGGUAGGGUACUAUGGAGCCUGGUCUAAGGUAGGGUACUAUGGAGCCUGGUCUAAGGUAGGGUACUAUGGAGCCUGGUCUAAGGUAGGGUACUAUGGAGCCUGGUCUAAGGUAGGGUACUAUGGAGCCUGGUCUAAGGUAGGGUACUAUGGAGCCUGGUCUAAGCUAGGGUACUAUGAAGGGAAUAGAUGAGGGUGUGUUUGUUCAUGUUAUUGAUCAUCAAGACAAGGAGGCUGAGGAAAGAGACAUUAAGUUCAACACCACUGUUAAUGACCCAGAGUCGACCCGUUCUGUUGGGUCACUGUCUCCAGGGUUAAUGUUAGUACUGCCAUAGUGGUUCUGUUGGGUCACUGUCUCCAGGGUUAAUGUUAGUACUGCCAUAGAGGUUCUGUUGGGUCACUGUCUCCAGGGUUAAUGUUAGUACUGCCAUAGCGGUUCUGUUGGGUCACUGUCUCCAGGGUUAAUGUUAGUACUGCCAUAGUGGUUCUGUCGGGUCACUGUCUCCAGGGUUAAUGUUAGUACUGCCAUAGUGGUUCUGUUGGGUUAAUGUUAGUACUGCCAUAGUGGUUCUGUUGGGUCACUGUCUCCAGGGUUAAUGUUAGUACUGCCAUAGUGGUUCUGUUGGGUUAAUGUUAGUACUGCCAUAGUGGUUCUGUUGGGUCACUGUCUCCAGGGUUAAUGUUAGUACUGCCAUAGUGGUUCUGUUGGGUCACUGUCUCCAGGGUUAAUGUUAGUACUGCCAUAGAGGUUCUGUUGGGUCACUGUCUCCAGGGUUAAUGUUAGUACUGCCAUAGCGGUUCUGUUGGGUCACUGUCUCCAGGGUUAAUGUUAGUACUGCCAUAGUGGUUCUGUCGGGUCACUGUCUCCAGGGUUAAUGUUAGUACUGCCAUAGUGGUUCUGUUGGGUUAAUGUUAGUACUGCCAUAGUGGUUCUGUCGGGUCACUGUCUCCAGGGUUAAUGUUAGUACUGCCAUAGUGGUUCUGUUGGGUCACUGUCUCCAGGGUUAAUGUUAGUACUGCCAUAGUGGUUCUGUUGGGUCACUGUCUCCAGGGUUAAUGUUAGUACUGCCAUAGUGGUUCUGUUGGGUUAAUGUUAGUACUGCCAUAGUGGUUCUGUUGGGUCACUGUCUCCAGGGUUAAUGUUAGUACUGCCAUAGUGGUUCUGUUGGGUUAAUGUUAGUACUGCCAUAGUGGUUCUGUUGGGUCACUGUCUCCAGGGUUAAUGUUAGUACUGCCAUAGUGGUUCUGUUGGGUCACUGUCUCCAGGGUUAAUGUUAGUACUGCCAUAGAGGUUCUGUUGGGUCACUGUCUCCAGGGUUAAUGUUAGUACUGCCAUAGCGGUUCUUUUGGGUCACUGUCUCCAGGGUUAAUGUUAGUACUGCCAUAGUGGUUCUGUUGGGUCACUGUCUCCAGGGUUAAUGUUAGUACUGCCAUAGUGGUUCUGUUGGGUUAAUGUUAGUAC